CACCAGGUUGAUUCUGCCUGACGUGGGUGCUAGCCUCUAAGAUUUAGCCAUGCAUGCUUUGUGAACCCAGACGGGGGAACGGCGAACGGCUCAGUAAUGUUGCGGUGAUCUGCUCUGGUUGAGAAAGAUAACCACGGUAAACUGUGGCUAAGAGACCAGAAUGAGCUGCAACCCUAUCAGUUUGUUGGAAGUGUAAAAGACUCCCAAGACGUCGACGGGUAACGGGAAAUCAGUGUUUGAUUCCGGAGAGGGAGCCUGAGAGAUGGCUCCCACGUCCAAGGAUGGCAGCAGGCGCGAAAAUUGUCCACUCUUUGGAGAGGAGACAGUUAUGAGGCGUGAUUAAAAGAGCGAAGUGUAAACACCUUCGUGUAACGCAAUUGGAGGGCAAGUUUUGGUGCCAGCAGCCGCGGUAAUUCCAACUCCAAGAGUGCCCAUGGUGGAUGCUGCAGUUAAAAAGUCCGUAGUCGUAGAUGCAAUUAAAGGGUGCGGAUCAAGCGCACUGAGUUUGUUGAGUUGUAGCGGAGCGGAUAGGGAGCAUGGUAUAGGUUGGCGAAGAAUGAAAUUCUCAAGACCCAACCUGGACCAAAUGAGGCGAAAGCGGUGCUCUUAUACGCAUCCGAGGAUCAAAGGACGAAGGCUGGAGGAUCGAAAGUGAUUAGAUACCGCUGUAGUUCCAGCAGUAAACUAUGCCGACAUUCUCUGUCCAGCGGACGGGGAAGGGAGAAAUCUUAGUUUUCGGGCUCUGGGGAUAGUACGCUUGCAAGAGUGAAACUUAAAGCGAAAUUGACGGAAGGACACUAACCAGGAGUGGAUUGUACUGCUUAAUUUGACUCAACGCGGGAAAACUUACCAGGGUCAAGUUCUCCGUAGAUCGAGUACGUGAGGGGAACGAGAGUGGUGCAUGGCCGUUGGAAAUUGAUGGGAUGACUUUUAGCUUAAAUGCUGAAACCAGUGAGAUCUUCUAGACAGGUGCCAUCCGGCACAGGAGGGCGAAGGCGAUAACAGGUCCGUGAUGCCCUUAGAUAUCCUGGGCUGCAAGUGCAAUACAAUAUCCAUGUCGAUCAAGAAAGGUGAUUAUGGAUGAGCAGGAUUAGCUCUUGUAAAUGAGCUAUGAAUGAGGAAUUCCUAGUAACAGUGUCUCACUAAGGCAUUGUGAAUGCGUCCCUGUUCUUUGUACACACCGCCCGUCACUAUUUCAGAUGGCCAUGAAGAUGAAGAGCUUCGGUUCUGAAUAUUCAUGUCUAGAUAAAGUACAAGUCGUAACAAGGUUGC
rnacentral:rRNA from 1 species